rnacentral:SRP_RNA from 1 species
GCAGGGUGUGGUGGCGCGUGCCUGUAGUCCCAGCUACUCGGGAGGCUGAGGUGGGAGGAUCACUUGAGCCCAGGAGUUCUGGGCUGUAGUGCGCUAUGCCGAUCGGGAGUCUGCACUAAGUUCAGCAUCAAUAUGGUGACCUCCUGGGAGCAGGGGACCACCAGGUUGCCUAAGGAGGGGUGAGCCGGCCCAGGCUGGAAACAGAGCAGGUCAACACUCCCGUGCUUAUCAGUAGUGGGACCACGCCUGUGAAUAGCCACUGCACUCCAGCCUGGGCAACAUAGUGAGAACCCAUCUCU